rnacentral:rRNA from 1 species
AGAGUUUGAUCAUGGCUCAGGAUGAACGCUGGCGGCGUGCCUAACACAUGCAAGUCGAACGGGAAUCUUCGGAUUCUAGUGGCGGACGGGUGAGUAACGCGUAAGAAUCUAACUUCAGGACGGGGACAACAGUUGGAAACGACUGCUAAUACCCGAUGUGCCGCAAGGUGAAAACUAAUUGGCCUGAAGAAGAGCUUGCGUCUGAUUAGCUAGUUGGUGGGGUAAGAGCCUACCAAGGCGACGAUCAGUAGCUGGUCUGAGAGGAUGAGCAGCCACACUGGGACUGAGACACGGCCCAGACUCCUACGGGAGGCAGCAGUGGGGAAUUUUCCGCAAUGGGCGAAAGCCUGACGGAGCAACGCCGCGUGAGGGAGGAAGGUCUUUGGAUUGUAAACCUCUUUUCUCAAGGAAGAAGUUCUGACGGUACUUGAGGAAUCAGCCUCGGCUAACUCCGUGCCAGCAGCCGCGGUAAUACGGGGGAGGCAAGCGUUAUCCGGAAUUAUUGGGCGUAAAGCGUCCGCAGGUGGUCAGCCAAGUCUGCCGUCAAAUCAGGUUGCUUAACGACCUAAAGGCGGUGGAAACUGGCAGACUAGAGAGCAGUAGGGGUAGCAGGAAUUCCCAGUGUAGCGGUGAAAUGCGUAGAGAUUGGGAAGAACAUCGGUGGCGAAAGCGUGCUACUGGGCUGUAUCUGACACUCAGG